GUACUCACUUCAAAAACACAUAUACACAAAUUGGAAGGAUACAGAGAAAAUUAACAUGACCCCUACUAAAGGAUGCCAUGCAGAUUUGUGAAGUGUUCCAUAUUUUU